rnacentral:rRNA from 1 species
CGGGUGAGUAACACGUGGGUAAUCUGCCCUGCACUCUGGGAUAAGCCUUGGAAACGAGGUCUAAUACCGGAUAUCACAACGCUUCGCAUGGGGUGUUGUUGAAAGUUCUGGCGGUGCAGGAUGAACCCGCGGCCUAUCAGCUUGUUGGUGGGGUAGUUGCCUACCAAGGCGACGACGGGUAGCCGGCCUGAGAGGGUGACCGGCCACACUGGGACUGAGACACGGCCCAG